rnacentral:lncRNA from 1 species
AUGGACCCCCGCUCCGGCAGGCGUGGUUGUCAUGGGACCAGGGCACCUCGCGGUGCGCGGCUGGCACUCUUCACGCCCCCUGGCCGAGGACUCCGUGGUGGAGAAGUCCCUCAAGUCCCUCAAGGACAAGAACAAGAAGCUGGAGGAGGGCGGCCCCGUGUACAGCCCCCCGGCACAGGCGCUGCAGAGGAAGUCCAUCGGGCAGAAGGUCCUGGACGAGCUGAAGCACUACUACCACGGCUUCCGCCUGCUCUGGAUCGACACCAAGAUCGCCGCGCGCACGCUCUGGCGCAUCCUCAACGGCCACACCCUCACCCGCCGGGAGCGCAGGCAGGUAAUGGGGACACACCAGGCGGCCGCACCUGUGUCGGCGCGCCUGCUGCGUCUGGGAAGAAAGUCAGGAAGAUGCGGCAGAGUGAGCUCCCCGAGACCGGGCGGGCUCUGUGGGGCAGGGCUCUGCCUUUCCCUCGUGCCUUGAGGCCUGGCCUGGGCUGGCGUGUGUCCCUUUGUAAGUUUUUAUUUAUUUAUUUGCAAGGCAGAGCAACAGAGAGAGAGAGAAGGAGAGAGAGAGAGAGAGAGCUUCCAUCCUCUGGUGUACUCCCAGAUGGCAGCAGUGUGAAGUCUGGACCAGGCAGAGGCCAGGCACCAAGAACGCCACCCUGGUCUCCCACGUGGGCGGCGGGACGCGCUGCCCAACCCAAGUUGUCGUUCCCCGUUGCCUUCCCAGGCACUAGCAGGAAGCUGGAUUGGAAGCAGGGUCUCUCUGGGACUCAGAUAGGCACCUCCACCGGGGGCAGCAGUGAGCGCCACGUUGGACGAGGGUCCUGUGGCCCAGGCAGCCCGGCAGUGCCCUCCCCAGGAGCGCUUCCGGCCUCGUGGCUGCAUGCAGCCCUGCGCUGGGGCCUCUGCCCGGAGCUCCAGUUGCCACCCACACCCCGCAGUUUCUGCGGACUGUGCGUUUUCCUUCUUGUUAUUUUAAAGAUUUACUUAUCAGAAUGGCAGAGUUACAGGGAGGGAGGGAGAGAGUCAGAGGUCUUCCGUCUGCUGGUGCACUCCACAAAUGACUGCAACAGCCAAGUCUGGGCCAGGCCAAAGCCAGGAGCUUCCUCCAGGUCUCCCACGCAGGUGCAGGGGACCAAGCACUUGGGCCAUCCUCUGCUGCUUUCCCAGGCCACGGCAGGGAGCUGGAUUGGAAGUGGAGCCGCUGGAACUUGGUCCUGCACUCGUGGAAUGCCAGGGUCACAGGUGCUACCCGCUGUGCCACACUGGCAUGCACACUAA